rnacentral:rRNA from 1 species
AUUAGGAAUUGGCGGGGGAGCACAACAACGGGUGGAGCCUGCGGUUUAAUUGGACUCAACGCCGGACAACUCACCGGGGACGACAGCAAUAUGUAGGCCAGGCUGAAGACCUUGCCUGAAUCGCUGAGAGGAGGUGCAUGGCCGUCGCCAGUUCGUACUGUGAAGCAUCCUGUUAAGUCAGGCAACGAGCGAGACCCGUGCCCACUGUUACCAGCAUAUCCUCCGGGAUGAUGGGUACUCUGAGGGGACCGCCGGUGUUAAAUCGGAGGAAGGUGCGGGCCACGGUAGGUCAGUAUGCCCCGAAUUUCCCGGGCUACACGCGGGCUACAAUGAAUGGGACAAUGGGUCCCUCCCCUGAAAAGGGCUGGUAAUCUCACAAACCCAUCCUUAGUUCGGAUCGAGGGCUGUAACUCGCCCUCGUGAAGCUGGAAUCCGUAGUAAUCGCGUUUCAAUAUAGCGCGGUGAAUACGUCCCUGCUCCUUGCACACACCGCCCGUCAAU